UACGUAGGGAGCAAGCGUUGUCCGGAAUCAUUGGGCGUAAAGCGCGCGUAGGUGGCCUCAUAAGUCCGCUGUGAAAGUCAAAGGCUCAACCUUUGAAAGCCGGUGGAUACUGUGAGGCUAGAGUACGGAAGAGGCGAGUGGAAUUCCUGGUGUAGCGGUGGAAUGCGCAGAUAUCAGGAGGAACACCGGUGGCGAAGGCGGUGGUCUGGGCCGGAACUGACGCUGAGGAGCAAAGACGUGGGAGCGGAACAGG
rnacentral:rRNA from 1 species